UACGGGGGGAGCAAGCGUUGUUCGGAUUUACUGGGCGUAAAGGGCGCGUAGGCGGUCGUGACAAGUCACUUGUGAAAUCUCCGGGCUUAACUCGGAACGGCCAAGUGAAACUGUCAAGCUAGAGUGCGGAAGGGGCAAUCGGAAUUCUUGGUGUAGCGGUGAAAUGCGUAGAGAUCCGGAGGAACACCAGCGGCGAAGGCGGCAUCCUGGACUGGUCCUGACACUCAUGAGCGAAAGCGUGGGGAGCGAUCCGG
rnacentral:rRNA from 1 species